rnacentral:lncRNA from 1 species
AUCAGAUGCCAGGCUGCCUUCUUGGGCCCCUGACCUGUUCUCCACACAAUCCCUGGCAGAGCAGGGCCCCGCCUGGAGACCUUCCUUCGCCUGUUCAUGCUCCAUGCAAAGACAACCGCCAUCCUGGAAGGAUCUGUGAGAACCUUCCCCACACCCACUCCACAGGUUCCCACAUUAUUCACCGUGAGUCGGAAUUCACUAAAACCCAUGUAGCUGAGCACACCUGUGAGGGGUUUUCUUGAGUGGAUCAUUUGAAGUAGGAAGACCCACCCUAAAUCUGGCCCACACCUUCUGGUAGCAGCCUGAAGAAAAAGACUUGGAAGAUGGAAGCUUUUGGGAUUUUUUGCCUGCUUGCCUUCACUCUUGCUGGCAAGUUCUUCUGAAAGAAAAUAAAACUUGAGACCUGUGAUUCAUGUAAUUUAUGUCAAAUAGCCCAAAGAGUUGUUUGUGAGCUUUGAAACCUGGGGCUGAGAACAUAGCAGAACAGGCCAGGACAUGCCCAGGCAGGCCCAUCGUUAAGACAUUCUUGAGGCUGCUUGGCCAUAAAGAUAAAGAGAAUGACAUGCUGGACUGGCCCAGCGCCUCCCUAUCUCCCACCCUUCUGACCUAAGUUAAAUGUUAACAGGCUGCUGAUGUUUAAAUGGACCAAUCAUGUGAAACUGCGCCAAUUCCUCCCCCAGCCCCAGACCCUUUUCUAUAAAAACCCCUAGCUUCUAAGCCUCGUGGUCGGAACCACUGUCUCCUGCGUGAGAUACGUUUUGACUGGGAGCGCCACCAUUAAAUGGUCUAAUCCACUGUCUCCUGCAUGAGAUACGUUUAGACCGGAGCUCCGCCAUUAAACUACCUCGUGUUUUUACAUCAAGACGUUCUGUUCUGUUCGUGAUUCUUGGGUGCACGCCGAAUCGGGAGUUGAGUGGGGGUUUCCCCACUAGGUUCUUUCACUUCCACCCUGUUCCUGAGACAUCCCUUCGCUGGUGUUAGUACCUGCAUUUUCAGGAUUCCGAUGUACAUGGAAGACUAGCGGCUCUCUGAGAUCUCCCAGGUCUCCGGCACCAGAGUGGGACUGCUGAGACAUCCAGUCUCAUGGUCUGAAUCAACAACAACCAGACCCUUUAGCUUUUUUUGUCAGGAGACAGCCAUUGUUGAGCUACCCGGACCACAGUCUGUAAGCCACGCUAAUAAAUCCUUUUUUAAUACCA